rnacentral:lncRNA from 1 species
AAGGUAUGUAUGCUUAUGCUACAAUCUCUGCAGCUCCCUCCCCUGUAUUGUUUCUGAGGUCCCAUGUUUUGGUUCUCUCCCGUCUUUACUUUUUCUCUUAGUUCAAUGGUCUAGAGAAAGAAAGUUGCUUUGUGAUAAGCUGAGUUCCUUUUUCUUUUUUCCUUGUAACUUGUAAGCAUUCUUCUCCAGGUUUCUUAGUUCCUUACUGUACUUUCUUCCUGUUCUUCUUGGGCCUCCUUUGCUUGUGGAGUCCUAUGCUUGAUAAGUGCUACUGCAAGAAAGGGACAAGUGCUCAUUACACAUAUUCAAGGCUCUGUUUCCUUGUCUUCCUAUCCAUAAGCAUGUGAAUGCGUAAAGUUUGAGAUCAAAUAAACGACGGAGAUGCCCAGGAUGUGGAAAAAACCUGAUUUUUGUGCAGGAUGGUGAUGUAGUAACUGGGGAACCCUUUAUUUUUGUCAUCUGACUCGUGAUCUUGCAUGCUAUUCAGUUCCUGAAAAAUAUGAGCUUGCA